CUCAUUCGGUAGAGAACUCCCGAAGACCCCUGUAUUCGGUAUUUUGUCCGCGAAUAAGCUAUACCCCAGAUAGCCAUCCCAUGGAGUCUAUUCGGAUGGAGAACAGACUGUGUGAGCACUUUGACUCCACGGCGAUUGGACUAUGUGCAUAGGAUCUGAGCGCACAAAAGUACCGAAUAGCGCUCAGAUCCUAUGCACACAGCUAUCUGGAGACACGUUGAAUGCCUGUAU